rnacentral:lncRNA from 1 species
UCAACUUCUCUUAACAUUAUAAAUCCAUUUAAGCUCUGAAGUGACGAACAUAGCAAAAUAUAAAGCAAAUUGCAAACUCACAUGAAAUUCUGUUAUAAGAAUCCAUUCAGGAAAGAUAACACAAAUUCACUCACACCAAAACAUAUAUGAACAGAUUUGAAGUAUAGGAUUUAGAAACGGACCUAAAAUUAGUAAACUUCUUUUAAUAUAUGAGUUUGAUUACAUUUAACUCCGGCGAACCGAGCCUGAACCGUAGAGAUGACAUGGUAACAGAUCAAUGGCAACUCGGACGGCACCAACCUCCACUCAGACACAACUCCACCAGUUGCAAACUGAAGACUCGCCGGUGAUGAAAUCCAGCUGAGCCAACCAAAUGAAUGUAUGAGCAGAAAAUGUUAGAGGCAGUCAAAGCUGUUGGAUCUCGUCAUUUCUGGCGAUGUAACAGUGAAGAGAAGAGAGGACAAACGAGAUAACGAGAACAGCAUAGCAAUAGCAUUUUCCGUAUUCAAUAGAGGGUCGCCGGAUUUAACCAAACGUUCGACCCGAUCUGAAACUCGUCAAACAUGGAGGAGAGAAGAGGACGGAAGCCAUGAAGCUUGCUAAUCGUUGUUGUUUCUCCAGAAGAUGAACUAGUGGGGUGGCUGUUUAGCGAAGUUUUCGCCGGAUUUCCGGCCAGUUCUGGCGGGGGUCUAGGGUGGUUCAAGGAGUGAAGAAGAAGGGAAUGGCUGCUGCUGCUGGUUCUCGUCCUAGGGUCGAAGAAGGAGACCGGCAUCCAUGGAGUUCUCAAGUUCUCUGAAGAAGAUAGGGCUCGGGUUCCGAUCUGCUCCUUUUUUUUGUAUAUCCUUCCUUAUGUGUAUUAACGUGAAGAAGAAUACUUAAGGUUGUUG